AGCCAGCACAACGCAGUUCGCUCCGUUGUUUUGUUUACAGAAUGAAACACGCAGUGUCCUACACCAUAACGGAGCAUGCCUCAACUGCCCUAUCACGAAAACCGCAGCGAUAACAAUGAAGAUAUCGGCCGCCGUACACCAAUGCUAUGAGUCGAAACCAGCGCGUGUGCACUGAUUUCAGACUACGAAGUGGACAGGACGUUCCAUAUCUUCGCUGCGGUGAACUUGAAACUGCCACGGAAUGCAGCGGUAUGGUGGCGUGGUACUACCAUCGUCCAGUUCAACGUUCUGGUGAAGGAGGUUUUUACGUCGCGUGACCAUACCAACUUUUUAGCCAGAUAAGGCGGAACCUCGUAUUUGAUAACGCCAAACAACAAAGUUGCCAAAUGUAAAUCUCUCCGCGCUCUCAUCUUUAAAAUAUUUGCUUCGUUAAUAUAAGGAGUUACGUGCAUGCGUGGUGGUACAUUAAAGCAGAACCUUGCACAUGCAUUCUGCACUCGUUGAAUUUGCUUCUGCGUAUGCGCUAGUAGACGCGGCCCGUAA